CUCCCCCAGCGCAGGGCCGGGCGGGCACGGCUCCGAGGCGGGGUUUGGAGGAGCCGCGGGGGGCCGAGCGUGGAGCGGACCCGAGCGGACGGAGGUGGCCGAGGGAGUGGCUCUCGGGAAAGCUGGAAGAAAUCACAGCAGCUCAGGCACAAAACUGAUGGAGUUUUUCCUGGGAGCGGUUCUGUGCCCACACAUCAUGCCACCCUGUGUCUCCAGCACAAAUAUGAGGCCUGGGACUGACAGGCCCAUCCUGAUGUACUACCUUGUCUUAAGUUAUAGUGGAGGGAUGCCUGGGUAGCUCAGUUGGUUAAGUGUCUGCCUUCGGUCCAGGUCAUGGUCCCAGGGUCCUAAGAUCAAGCCCCACAUUAGGAUCCCUGCUCAGCAGGGUGUCUCUUCUCCCUCUCCCUCAUAUAUAUAUCUCAAAUAAAUAAAGUAUUUUUUUAAGUUACAGUGAAAAAUUCAGUCUAAUGAGGCCAGUCCUAGACCCAGAGAGAAUGGGAAUGAUGGUGGCUAGAUGAAUGUGCAUGUGCUCACUGACAUCUAGCCUCAGUCAAAUCCCCUUUUCCACUGGAAGCUGGUUCCUCUGAACCACUGCUAAUCUCAGAAAUCAUUGCUGUGUUUUCCCCCAACAAUAUCAUUCUUCCUACCGAGAGCACUGGUGAUGCAGCAUAUCUUAAAAGACUGUUUCACUAUUAUGUCUGGGAUUUUUUCCAAGCCAUGGACACUUUCUUCAAGUCUGAUGCUGGCACUUUUUUGAUCUUACCAGAAGGAUCCUUCGUAUGUGGGGAGUGACAAACAACAGUACUGCUGAAAUCAGGAAAAGCAGAGCUCCUACUCCUGCCUGCAACCCACUCGCCAUUGGCACAAAAAUAUAUUAUGACAACAAAAGGCAUGCUAUAUUGUGUCAUAUCCUUGGAAAGUCCAGUGGGUGUCACUAAAUGGUCAUGACUUUGGCAUUAACAAUGUUUUGUAGCAUGAAUGGCCUCUGCCAAAGACCCAACCCCAGCAGCAAAGACUAUUCUCACUCUGAGCAUCCCUCAACCAUCUCCCAAAUUUUGGGCUGGAUCCAUCUAAGUGGGGGAGCUUUGAAGCUCUCUGUACUGGAUGAUGAUUGGAAUUACAGUAGCAGAUGGAUUGGC